rnacentral:tRNA from 14 species
UUAUAGCUCAACCGUUCGAAGGUUCGACUUUUGAAGCACAAGGUAUAGGCGGUUCGAAUCCCGCCAUGU